rnacentral:rRNA from 1 species
AAUGAACGUUGGCGGCGUGGAUUAGGCAUGCAAGUCGCGCGAGAAGUCUUUCUUCGGAAAGACGGAAAGCGGCGAAAGGGAGAGUAACGCGUGGGUCACCUACCCUGGGGUUCGGGAUAGCUGCGGGAAACUGCGGGUAAUACCGAAUAACAUCUCCGGAUCAAAGGUGCGACUCCGCCCGAGGAUGGGCCCGCGUUCUAUUAGCUAGUUGGUAGGGUAAUGGCCUACCAAGGCGACGAUGGAUACCGGGUGUGAGAGCAUGACCCGGCUCACUGGGACUGAGACACUGCCCAGACACCUACGGGUGGCUGCAGUCGAGAAUCUUCGGCAAUGGGCGCAAGCCUGACCGAGCGACGCCGCGUGCGGGAUGAAGGCCUUCGGGUUGUAAACCGCUGUCGGAGGGGAGGAAAUCCACGGCGGCUAUCCGUCGUGGUUGACCUAUCCUCGGAGGAAGUACGGGCUAAGUUCGUGCCAGCAGCCGCAGUAAUAC